GAUGAACGCUGGCGGCGUGCUUAACACAUGCAAGUCGAACGAUGAAGCCCAGCUUGCUGGGUGUAUUAGUGGCGAACGGGUGAGUAACACGUGAGUAACCUGCCCUUAACUCUGGGAUAAGCCUGGGAAACUGGGUCUAAUACCGGAUAGGAGCGUCCACCGCAUGGUGGGUGUUGGAAAGAUUUAUCGGUUUUGGAUGGACUCGCGGCCUAUCAGCUUGUUGGUGAGGUAUUGGCUCACCAAGGCGACGACGGGUAGCCGGCCUGAGAGGGUGACCGGCCACACUGGGACUGAGACACGGCCCAGACUCCUACGGGAGGCAGCAGUGGGGAAUAUUGCACAAUGGGCGCAAGCCUGAUGCAGCGACGCCGCGUGAGGGAUGACGGCCUUCGGGUUGUAAACCUCUUUCAGUAGGGAAGAAGCGAAAGUGACGGUACCUGCAGAAGAAGCACCGGCUAACUACGUG
rnacentral:rRNA from 1 species